rnacentral:rRNA from 1 species
CCUACGGGAGGCAGCAGUGAGGAAUAUUGGUCAAUGGCCGGAAGGCUGAACCAGCCAAGCCGCGUGAAGGACGAAGGUGCCAAGCAUUGUAAACUUCUUUUGUCAAGGGACAAAAUCAGGCUCGAGAGCCUGCCCGAGUGUACUUGAAGAACAAGCAUCGGCUAACUCCGUGCCAGCAGCCGCGGUAAUACGGGGGAUGCGAGCGUUAUCCGGAUUUAUUGGGUUGAAAGGGUGGGUAGGCGGACUGUUAAGUCAGCGGUAAAAGCCCGGGGUUCAACCCCGGCGAGCCGUUGAAACUGGCGGUCUGGAGAGGGCGAGGGGUAUGCGGAAUGCGCAGUGUAGCGGUGAAAUGCUUAGAUAUUGCGCAGAACUCCGAUGGCGAAGGCAGCAUACCGGCGGCGAUCUGACGCUGAGGCACGAAAGCGUGGGUAUCGAACAGGAUUAGAUACCCCAGUAGUC